CAACUGUCACCCAUAUAAACAGGCUGUUCUUAUACACCAUUCAUAGCUUUACCUACGAAAAGUAAUGCACUGUAAUUCAUAUGCAUCCCACAAAAUCAAUUUGUAUGUAAUCCACGUAAUCGUGAACUAGGAAGUAUAAAGAGCGACAAACGCCGGGUAGGGUGGAA